AUGGUGAAUUCCUGGGUAAUUUAUGAUGAACCAGACCAGGUUGUGUGGAACCUUGGAAAAAACAAGCACUUUACAACCAAAUCUAUGUAUAAUCAUCUGGAAAGCCGCCUCGCUGGGUGUGAUUAUAGGUGGAUUUGGAAAGCUAAGCUACCUCUCAAGAUCCAAAUUUUCCUUUGGCAAUUGUUUCAAGAUGCGGCGUUGACACGAGAUGUCAUGAAAAGAUGCAAAUGGGAUGGUAACCCGAAGUGUUCCUUCUGUCAGAGCAGGGAAACUUCUCAACACCUCUUCUUCACCUGUCCAGUUGCAAGGGUGGUUUGGAGAACGGUUGGCUGUGUGUUUGGCACAGAUUUGUGCCCUGAUAACCUAUGGCAAUAUUUCUCUUGGUGCUAUACCUUUUUACCUGAUGGUGCUAGAUUCUAUACCGUCGGCUUGGCUGCGAUUUGCUGGGCCAUGUGGAUCUGUCGUAACAGGGCCACUUUCGAAUGCAAAAAAUUGAGAACUCCUUUUGAUGUGGUUUUCUCUGCAUGUGGUUACAUGAACUAUUGGGCAGGUAUGAUGGAGGGAGCUGAUCAUGAGGCGAUGGAGCGCGGCGCUAAGAUGCUCAAGACCAACGCAGCUGCCAUGAUGAGGAUUUGCGCGGCCCCAGCUGGAACAACAAUGGACUGA
rnacentral:rRNA from 1 species